UACAGAGGCCUCGAGCGUUAGGCGGAAUCACUGGGCUUAAAGCGUGUGUAGGUGGAUGCCUAAGUACCUUGUGAAAUCCCACGGCUUAACCGUGGAACUGCUGGGUAUACUGGGUGUCUUGAGCCACUCAGGGGCUACCGGAACAAACGGUGGAGCGGUGAAAUGCGUAGAUAUCGUUUGGAACGCCAAUGGUGAAAACAGGUAGCUGGGGGUGUGCUGACACUGGAGACACGAAAGUCAGGGGAGCAAACGGGG
rnacentral:rRNA from 1 species